rnacentral:lncRNA from 1 species
AUGGAUGCGCUGGGGGGCAGGAGGGGUGGCAAGGGGCAAAUGGGAAGCGUGUCAGCCGAGAGCCUCGGGGCCGGCAGGAGGCAGCUGGGUGGAAGCUUUUCUGCCGCAAGCACUCGCCUGGGGCGGAAAAAUCCAGCAGGAGCCGUUCUGUCCUGGCCCAGGCUUCCCCAGCUGCCCAGGUGGUGCCGUUUCCCAGGAUCCCUGAACCGGGGCUGGGAGGAAACGCUGGCAAAAGAGCAAGUUUUUGUGGUAUGGAAGAGCCAGGGCACCUGGUCCCGCUGCAGAGCCAGCGCAAGCGAACGGCAGGAGCAGAAGCGCUGGCRGUGCCGGGCUGCCGGCGCCUGGGAAAGGUUCUGGGGUGGGAAGGGACUGGUUCACCUGGCCUGGUGUCGGAGCAAGGGAGCAGGAGCCGGGAGACUUGGCUUCACCGCUCGUCCCUGCGGGAGGAGAACGGGGCGCAUCUGGGCUGCGUCCUUCGCUUGCCGUUGGUGCACGCCGAGUGUCGCUUUGCAAUCCCCCGGCUGCUGCUUCCAGCCCCCUGCCUUCCCCUCCGCGCAGGGAAAGCGCCCCGGGGGAAGGGAGCGCCCCGGGGCCAGUCCAAGCCGCCGGCGGGCGACGAGCCCCAGCCAAGGGCAGCGAGCCGGCGGGACUCCGGGGCCGCCUCGGACGGGGAGCGAGCCCAGCGGAGCCCUCGGCGGCUCCCGAAGCAGCGAGCGGUGCAAGCGCCCGCUUCCUCCCGGGCCGGGCUGCGGGCGAUGCCCACCCUGCGCCCCGGGGGCCGCUCGACGGCGUUGGGGUGCGCVGCGCCCCGCUCCCCCGGCGCGGGAGGCGGGGAGCGGAGGGUGGGGCCUCUUUUUGGGCAUCCCCCCAGCGGCUCCGGUUCCCCUCCCAGGCCAAAAAUAUUUGCAUUUUUUUUUCUCUUUUUUUUUUCAAGCAGGACUUCCUGAUCGCUCUCCAUUGGCUGCAGGUAGACAGCCGUGCGAGACGAGACGGAGGCACGGACAGCCGGACAGAUCUCCUGCGAGCCUCUAA